rnacentral:rRNA from 1 species
GACGUACGCUGGCGGCGUGCUUAACACAUGCAAGUCGAACGGAAAGGCCCUGCUUUUGUGGGGUGCUCGAGUGGCGAACGGGUGAGUAACACGUGAGUAACCUGCCCUUGACUUUGGGAUAACUUCAGGAAACUGGGGCUAAUACCGGAUAGGAGCUCCUGCUGCAUGGUGGGGGUGGGAAAGUUUCGGCGGUUGGGGAUGGACUCGCGGCUUAUCAGCUUGUUGGUGGGGUAGUGGCGUACCAAGGCUUUUUGGGGUAGCCGGCCUGAGAGGGUGACCGGCCACAUUGGGACUGAUAUACCGCCCAGACUCAUACGUGAUGCAUCAGUGGGGAAUAUUGCACAAUGGGCGGAAGCCUGAGCCAGCAACGCCGCUUGCGGGAUUACGGCCUUCGGGUUGUAAACCGCUUUCGCCUGUGACGAAGCGUGAGUGACGGUAAUGGGUAGAGAAGCACCGGCUAAGUACGUU